UCCCAAAUCUCUUUAGCUGAGUUGCAUGUGGAAAUGCGAUUAAAUUGAUUAGCAUCCAAAGCAUAAUAUAAAAUAUUCAUGGUUUUAACAUUGAGCUGAGCCAUUUUCUUAUCAAGUUCAUCCCAUUCACCUUCCGACUUAGGAAGAGACGCACCAUCAAUCAAUUUAGUGGGUGUGUAAAGUUCAUUUACAUGAUACACCAUAUGUCAUAGUCAAGUGCUUGAAUGAAAAUUCUCAUCCAAACUUUUUAAUAGAUGUAGUUUGACCCAUUGAAAAGUAGAGGUCAGUUUGUGGAUUACCCCUUGACUAGGGAUGUGCCAAAUUGGGCUGCCAUUGAUCUUUAGCUCUUAAUGUUUAAAUCUAGCAAGAACUAGAGCACCGGGCUCUGAUACCAUUUGUUGUCCAAAUAUGAAGCCCA
rnacentral:lncRNA from 1 species